UUGGAAUUUAUCUAGCAUCUGCUUCGGCCUUUGGAUGCUGUUAUGCUUUUGUCUGCUAGAUUAAAGACUCUCCUGUCAGAAAUCUUCUCUCCAUGCAGGCCACCAAAGUAGCUCUCCUGCAUCACCAGUGUCCUACUUUGUCUCAGACACUCAGCAUGCAGUGGGCUGGUAAUGGAAAUGCCACUCAGUCUAUACUGAAGACAGUAGUCUGCCUAUGGAGAUACUCUCAAUACCAGGGGGGAGAGACACCACCAUCAACCUGUCACUCACAAAACUCAGGAAUGAUGCGACCAAGUCAGAGCCUCAGAAACCUGCAUUCCUACUGAUGGGCAGAGGAUUUAGCAUUAGAUGAACAGACCAAAUGACGAACCAUUGCUACGGCCGACUGUCUGGCUAAGUGCU